GGGUUGUGAGGUUAAGCGACUAAGCGUACACGGUGGAUGCCCUGGCAGUCAGAGGCGAUGAAGGACGUGCUAAUCUGCGAUAAGCGCCGGUAAGGUGAUAUGAACCGUUAUAACCGGCGAUUUCCGAAUGGGGAAACCCAGUGUGACUCGUCACACUAUCAUUAACUGAAUCCAUAGGUUAAUGAGGCGAACCGGGGGAACUGAAACAUCUAAGUACCCCGAGGAAAAGAAAUCAACCGAGAUUCCCCCAGUAGCGGCGAGCGAACGGGGAGGAGCCCAGAGCCUGAAUCAGCAUGUGUGUUAGUGGAAGCGUCUGGAAAGGCGCGCGAUACAGGGUGACAGCCCCGUACACAAAAGCGCAUGUGCUGUGAGCUCGAUGAGUAGGGCGGGACACGUGGUAUCCUGUCUGAAUAUGGGGGGACCAUCCUCCAAGGCUAAAUACUCCUGACUGACCGAUAGUGAACCAGUACCGUGAGGGAAAGGCGAAAAGAACCCCGGCGAGGGGAGUGAAAAAGAACCUGAAACCGUGUACGUACAAGCAGUGGGAGCACCCUUUGGGGUGUGACUG
rnacentral:rRNA from 2 species